GCAGGUUUUCCCCUUAAGGAACAGAUUGUUAUGUAAUAGAAGAAGGAAGACAUCAUGAUGACCUAUCAAACUGUUGUCUUGUGCGCCUCUCCUGACACUUGCAGUAACAUGGCUCAAAGUGAUAGUUACUACAAAUGCAAGGAAGGGCGAGGAGGGAGGAAAAUUCACUCCAGUUGCUUCCCUGAGAGAGUGUCAGCUACCACUCUUCAAUAAACAGCUAAAAUCAGAUAAGGUCCUGAUUCCUGGCCUUAAGUAUGACCAUACCAAUUUCUCCUGCUGUAUGAUCACUUUCCAUUCCAAUGUGCAGGGAAGGAAACAUUAUAUGUGCACAAGAGCCCAUAGUUGAGCACAGAGGAGAGCAGAAUUUUAUAGCAUACAAAGAAAGAAGGGUGAGGAGUCUUGUAUUACCUUUCCACAAGGUGUCAGGUAGGCUACCCACCUCUCUUUCAGUUGACAUGAAAUAUGAGGGGUGCCAUGGCUCCUCACAAAAUGUCUAUGAACUAUAAAUCAUCCCUUGGCUAGGCUAGGACUCUAGGACUGCCCUUGUAUUCUUCUGUUGUAGAAGUGACACAGACAGAAAUGGUCCCCUGAUGCCCUCUGUCUUCUUUCAGCAUUCUUGUAACAAAACAUGGCUGGUCAGAAGCAGACACUGAUUGUG